UACAAAUGGAGCCUUCUGCCUCUAGGUCACUGAUUCCGCUACCAUCUGUCAGCACGGAUUGAUUGAGGAGACUGGCCUGCUCGGCAGAUCAGUGACUUGUGCGAACUCUCCUUCCUCUCUGGAGGUCCCUCCUGCUAACUCUAGCACACCAAGUGGGAAGCCUGGAAUGCCGGCUCACGGACCUCCAGGAGACAGCAGUUUGCAAAAGCCUCGGGUUAACAGAGGCUGUGCGUAUCUGCAGGGCAGGGACAGCCUAUGCAGGGCAGGGCACCAUAUCUAUAAAAAUGGUAACGAUAAUCACAGCCCAGAGGGACCCAAGCUUAGUGGGAACAGGCACUGUGAGUUCAGGUGAGCAGAGAGAAAACACCGGAGGAGACACAGCUGUGCCACUGGAGGCCCCCUGCAGCCGGGCC